rnacentral:rRNA from 1 species
UGGGGGAUAUUGCACAAUGGAGGAAACUCUGAUGCAGCAACGCCGCGUGAAGGAUGAAGGUCUUCGGAUUGUAAACUUUUGUACUUGGGGACGAUAAUGACGGUACCCAAGCAGCAAGCUCCGGCUAACUACGUGCCAGCAGCCGCGGUAAUACGUAGGGAGCAAGCGUUGUCCGGAUUUACUGGGUGUAAAGGGUGCGUAGGCGGCCAUACAAGUCAGUUGUGAAAACUAUGGGCUCAACCCAUAGCCUGCAAUUGAAACUGCGUGGCUUGAGUGAAGUAGAGGUAGGUGGAAUUCCCGGUGUAGCGGUGAAAUGCGUAGAGAUCGGGAGGAACACCAGUGGCGAAGGCGACCUACUGG